rnacentral:rRNA from 1 species
CGGAGGGGGCCAGCGUUGUUCGGAAUCAUUGGGCGUAAAGGGCGCGUAGGCGGCUUGGUAAGUCCGUUGUGAAAUCCCUCGGCUCAACCGAGGAACUGCGACGGAUACUGCUUGGCUUGAGUCCCGGAGAGGGUAGCGGAAUUCCCAGUGUAGCGGUGAAAUGCGUAGAUAUUGGGAGGAACAUCGGUGGCGAAGGCGGCUACCUGGACGGGUACUGACGCUGAUGCGCGAAAGCUAGGGGAGCAAACAGGAUUAGAUACCCUGGUAGUCCUAGCUGUAAACGAUGGGCACUUGGUGUUGCGGGUAUCGACCCCUGCAGUGCCGAAGCUAACGCAUUAAGUGCCCCGCCUGGGGAGUACGGUCGCAAGGCUG